GGGCUCGCUUCGGCAGCACAUAUACUAAAAUUGGAACGAUACAGAGAUUAGCAUGGCCCCUGCACAAGGAUGACAUGCAAAUUCAUGAAGCGUUCCAUAUUUUU
ensembl:snRNA U6 U6 spliceosomal RNA